AGCCAUGCUGGUUAAGUGUGCCUUGAAUUUUAAAUAAAUCACGACAGUGUCACCAGCAAAGCACCCCCCACACCAUCACACCUCCUCCUCCAUGCUUCAUGAUGAGAACCACACAUCCGGAGAUCAUCUGUUCACCUACUCUACGUCUCACAAAUACACGGCAAUUGCAACCAAAAAUCUCAAAUUUGGACUCAUAAGACAAAAGGACAGAUUUCCACCAGUCUAAUUGUCACAUCUGCUCCUGCUACGCCCUCUGGUGUUCACCCGGUGUCUUCUUGACCUGCAGUUACUUCCCCUGUACACUCUCACUCUCUUCCUCUCUGUGUGGUUGUGUGGUUGGAGACAGGUGUGCUGGAGUCAGAGCAGAUCCCUAUCAGCUGCAACUCGUUCCAUAAUCAAGACCUCUACAAAUACUCAGUCCUGCCACUUCCACUCUGCCAGAUCGUAAUCUCUGCUCAUACCGCUCUGUCUCUGGCUCCUGUCUCCUGUUCCACAUCUCACCACCCAACUACCUUGCUCUGGAUUUUACUCACCACUACCUUGGAUUCCCCUCAGGACCUGUUUACCCUGUUCUACUCAGCUAACUCCAACCUCAGUCUCCACAUCUGUUUUUUCUGCAAAUCAUCUAAACUUCCCCGGAUCUGCACUCCAUAUCUCCCUGUGUAACAAUAAAUAUUUUGGUUAAUUCA